rnacentral:rRNA from 1 species
CACCUCUAGCAUAACAAGUAUUAGAGGCACUGCCUGCCCAGUGACUUAAGUUCAACGGCCGCGGUAUCCUGACCGUGCAAAGGUAGCAUAAUCACUUGUUCCUUAAUUAGGGACUAGAAUGAAUGGCCAAACGAGGGCUUAACUGUCUCUUAUUUCCAAUCAGUGAAAUUGACCUCUCCGUGAAGAGGCGGAGAUGUAAAUAUAAGACGAGAAGACCCUAUGGAGCUUUAAUCUAAUAACUUAUUUAUAUAAAAUUAACUCCCAUGAGGACCAAAACAUAAAAAUUAAGUUACAGAUUUUGGUUGGGGUGACCUCGGAGAAUAAAAGAACCUCCGAAAGAUUUUAACCAAGACAAACAAGUUGAAGUAAUAUAUAUAUAUAUAUAUAUUAUAUAUAUAUAUGUAAUUGACCCAAUAAUUGAUCAACGGACCAAGUUACCCUAGGGAUAACAGCGCAAUCCUAUUCAAGAGUCCAUAUCGACAAUAGGGUUUACGACCUCGAUGUUGGAUCAGGACAUCCCAAUGGUGCAGAAGCUAUUAAAGGUUCGUUUGUUCAACGAUUAAAGUCCU